CAACAUUGAUUUUGAUUAUUUUGUGAGAAAUUGUAAAAACAAAUUGUGUUAUUAGAGUGAACAUUGCAAAGUUUUUCUCCUUUCGUUUCACCCAUUUGCUCUUUUAUUCCACUUUUAAUGUUUUCAAACAUUUUUUUAGUAUUUUUUAGAAUGAUGGGCCGGUAAAACAUUAGCUGCGGGCCGAAAAUGGCCCCCGGGCCACACUUUGGACACGCUGGCUUAGAUGAAGUGUUAAUAUCUCUACACUGGUUGAAAUAAAAUAGUGGACUGUUCCUUCACACUUCAACAGCAGCCAGUGAUCUUCAUCCUGACACUGCCAACACUCGCCUCCAACUAAAAGAUCCCAGGAUUUUUGCAUUCUACGAGGAGAGUGGGAGAGCGGCCGUGCCAGCAACUUGAGGGUUCCAGGUUCGAUCCCCGCUUCCGCCAUCCUAGUCACUGCCGUCGUGUCAUUGGGCAAGACGCUUUACCCACCUGCUCCCAGUGACACCCACACUGCUUUAAAUGCAACUUAGAUAUUGGCUUUCACUAUGUAAAGCGCUUUGAGUCACUAGAGAAAUAGCGCUAUAUAAUUCACUUCACUUACAUAAAAAUGGAGAAGGGUACUGGUAACAACUGCCGUCAGUUGUAAGUAGACAUUUGUCACUUAUUUUGAACUACAGGACGUCUAAUGUUAUGCCCAAUGUUAAUGUGUCCUUUUUCUUCUUCAUUAUGUUUUUCCUCAGUUAUCCAGUAAGUGCGGACAAAAAACUUCUCGCCAGAACCAUGUGACACUUUACCCGUCACUUAACAUCAACAUGGAGGACGAAAAUAAGGAUAUGUAAGGGAAUGUUAAGAGUGAGAAACACACAUUACUUGGAUUGAUUGUGACAGUAGCUCAUUAGAUCCCAGUUUUAUUUGUGUUGUAAAGGAACACGUCUAUGAUCCAACAUGCCACGCUGGCUUUCUGGAAGGUAAGCUGAGGAAUAUCCGCCAAACGAAGGGAUGAUUGCUGCCGUUAUUGCAGAAGGGGUGGCUCAUCUGAAGUCACUGUUGGACUUGAAGAAGUUACAGAAAGUGAUGAGUCUGUCCAAGAAUGGAUAACUGUGAUCAUAAGGAUGAAGCCUAGUCCGGAGAACCUUUCUUCCAUCAAGAUGGGUAUGGACAAAACCUACUUCCACCCAAGAUACUGGAUAUCUAAUCAGUCACCUACUCUGGCAGAGAUUGUUGAGAACUACCCUCGUUUCAUUGAUGUACCAUAUCUGAUCGACAGUUUGAGAAGAUGUUUCCAUACAAGACAGACAUCUUUCUACGCAAAUGGGACCAAAGUUGUUGAAGCUGGCUGCUCUUGAAGGAAAAGAUGAACCACCAGAAGCUGAGAGUGCUGAAUGAAGGUGCUGUAGAGCACUGAAGAUGCUCACACAUGAUCUGCCCCCUACUGGGUCAAGAAGAUCUAUGGGAUGGACAAAAUGCAGCAUCAAGUCAGUGCUGUCCUACAUUAAACAACCAGGAAGAAGCUUCCAUGACCUCCUACAAACCACUGACCCUGCUCCAGUGAUGCAACCUGGUCUGGUGAGCAUUGGACAUUGCAGCACAACAUCAACACAAUAUGUCCUCGUGGCUGCCCAUGUCAUUCCACUCCAGGAAGAGGGUCUCACCUGCAGUCUGGACUAACUCUUCAAAUUGUAUUGGGCUUGUAACCUUGCCUGCUUGGUAAAGUAGGAGUUGUUGAUUGAAAAAAUGGCAGCCUGUGGACAUAAGUUGAACAACUUAUUGGGGUGUUACCAUUUAGUGGUCAAUUGUAUGUAAUAUGUACUUCACUGUGCAAUCUACUAAUAAAGUUUCAAUCAAUGAUUGAAACAU